rnacentral:misc_RNA from 1 species
GGGAAAGAGGAGCUCUGAGCCCAUACGCUACCAUCAUGGCCAACAAUGGAAGCGGCGGUGAGAUGCUGGCCUUGGCCGUCGAUGUCGCACAUCAAGUGUUCGUCUACGUAAGUUUGCCACGACAUUUUAUCCUCCGUUUUGUAUUAGCUUGAUCGUGAAGCAGUAGCAGUGGGUCGGUGAAUACAGGUGUGGGUCUGUGGAUUAGCUAAGCUUCCUUAUUGUCUAAGUGUUCAAUAAAAAACAAAAUAAAAAAAAAAAAAAAAA